CCGGAUCUCAGAUCAAGCAAGAGGACCCGCC
rnacentral:rRNA from 9 species